CGUAGGGCGCAAGCGUUGUCCGGAAUUAUUGGGCGUAAAGAGCUCGUAGGCGGCUUGUCACGUCGGUUGUGAAAGCCCGGGGCUUAACCCCGGGUCUGCAGUCGAUACGGGCAGGCUAGAGUGUGGUAGGGGAGAUCGGAAUUCCUGGUGUAGCGGUGAAAUGCGCAGAUAUCAGGAGGAACACCGGUGGCGAAGGCGGAUCUCUGGGCCAUUACUGACGCUGAGGAGCGAAAGCGUGGGGAGCGAACAGGAUUAGAUACCCUGGUAGUCCACGCCGUAAACGGUGGGCACUAGGUGUUGGCGACAUUCCACGUCGUCGGUGCCGCAGCUAACGCAUUAAGUGCCCCGCCUGGGGAGUACGGCCGCAAGGCUA
rnacentral:rRNA from 1 species